CCUACGGGUGGCAGCAGUGAGGAAUAUUGGUAAAUGGGCGUAAGCCUGAACCAGCCAAGUCGCGUGAGGGAUGAAGGUUCUAUGGAUCGUAAACCUCUUUUAUAAGGGAAUAAAGUGUGGGACGUGUCCUGUUUUGUAUGUACCUUAUGAAUAAGGAUCGGCUAACUCCGUGCCAGCAGCCGCGGUAAUACGGAGGAUCCGAGCGUUAUCCGGAUUUAUUGGGUUUAAAGGGUGCGUAGGCGGCCUUGUAAGUAAGCGGUGAAAGUCUGUGGCUCAACCAUAGAAUUGCCGUUGAAACUGGGAGGCUUGAGUAUGUUUGAGGCCGGCGGAAUGCGUGGUGUAGCGGUGAAAUGCUUAGAUAUCACGCAGAACCCCGAUUGCGAAGGCAGCCUGCCAAGCCAUGACUGACGCUGAUGCACGAAAGCGUGGGGAUCAAACAGGAUUAGAGACCCUGGUAGUC
rnacentral:rRNA from 1 species